rnacentral:rRNA from 1 species
AGCGAACGCUGGCGGCGGGCCUAACACAUGCAAGUCGAACGAACCCUCCGGGGUUAGUGGCGGACGGGUGAGUAACACGUGGGAACGUGCCUUUAGGUUCGGAAUAACUCAGGGAAACUUGUGCUAAUACCGAAUGUGCCCUUCGGGGGAAAGAUUUAUCGCCUUUAGAGCGGCCCGCGUCUGAUUAGCUAGUUGGUGAGGUAAUGGCUCACCAAGGCUACGAUCAGUAGCUGGUCUGAGAGGAUGACCAGCCACAUUGGGACUGAGACACGGCCCAAACUCCUACGGGAGGCAGCAGUGGGGAAUCUUGCGCAAUGGGCGAAAGCCUGACGCAGCCAUGCCGCGUGGAUGAUGAAGGUCUUAGGAUUGUAAAAUCCUUUCACCGGUGAAGAUAAUGACUGUAGCCGGAGAAGAAGCCCCGGCUAACUUCGUGCCAGCAGCCGCCGUAACAC